GGCAGUGCGGAGGCGGAAACUGGAAGAAACACCAAAGCCCGCUCCUCCUCUCCCCGUGCUGGCAGGCUAGAUCGCCGGGAACUCUCCGAUGACCGGCGGCAGCACUCGGCGUCAAUCUGCCGCCUCCAGGAGCCGCGGCGACCCCUUCUCCUCUUCCCCGGAUCCGUAUGGCGACCAUGCUCCGCUGCGCCUCAUGGACGGGAACGGGAGCGCCAGAAUCCCCUCCUUCUCCUAUGAAUUGAUUCGUUCGCCCUCCUGUCCUGUCCGUCGCAUUCCUCGCGUAUACCGGCGGGUGGUUGCAGACGGGGUCGGAGUCGGAGGCAGCCGCGGCGCUCCUUCACGCCGCUUGAUGCGCCCCGGAUGAUGGAUCUGCCUCUGGUGAGGAUCGUUAGUUCGUGGCGUCAUUGCUGCCCACCCCUUGGUUGCUUUGCUAGAAUGCGACAUCUCAGUUGGUCAGAUAGCCUAGGUGUUACUAUUAUUUGUACUCCAGUUGAACAUCUCUGCUCUAUGUUUGAACAUUUGGUUAAGAUGAACUGGGGCUCAACAUUUGGUUACUGAUUUAGCUUUCUGAUGGUUAAUGUUGACCGGCUGCAGUGUUGCAAGGCGAUCACAAAGAAAGCCUGUAUUGGGUGACUUGCAGGCCAAUUGUAAAUCUCAGAAUUCGUGCUAGGUGGAGUACUACUUAACUUUGGUGAUCCUUUUCUCUUUCCACUUAUGGCAUGAUAGUUGGAAUUAUUCUGAUAUCUUUGUCACGGUUUUUUGUUGGGUUUCAUCUCUAGCCAACCCCAAUUUGCUUGGGACAAAAGGACUCAAGACAUUCGUAUUGCUAGCAUCAUUAGUUUUUAUGCAAAGUGGCAAGCUUUAAUCUGCCGGACAUGACUGAAGACUCUUCAAACAUUAAUGAUCUAUCGGGUACUUUAAAGGUGAAGAAAAGUUAUUCCAUCAACACACCUUAGACCCUCAUGUACCUGUCAAACCAAUAAUGAGUCAGUAACACCCAGAACUUGAGUACUAUUUUCUUUUGUCUCUGUGAUUUAUGUUUUCUAUCUGUUUCCACAGGUUUUAACAAAAACUUCCUGCCAAAAAUGACAUAGUGUUCUUGUCACUUGUCAGGGGCUGGCUCAAAAACUCCAACGGUUGCAGAACGCGUUAACAGGCUAACAGCUGAUUUUGCUGCACAGUGCAAUACUCCUUAUAGAUAGGAUAUGUUCAUUACUUGGAUUCCAUGGCUGCAUGCAUCGUUAUGAUGCAGAGGCCGGGGGUACGCCUCCAUUUCCAAAAAAAAUAAAAAAAUGGAUUCCCUGGCCAUCGUCCAUAGUAUGCAGUGCACACUCUGAACAUUUUCAAGGAAGUCACACAAGCACUUGACUGCCUUGCUUCCUCGUAUCAGAUUGAUAUGAUAUCAGUUUUACCUGCAUCUUGUCCUUACAUUGAACCUGAACUUCACGAGUUUUGAAGGCACGAUAUGUUCAUUUUGUUUGUUAAUUGUUAUACCGAUGAUGAUGUCAGAUUUUUCAGGUCCCAUGCUGAGCACCCGCAUUGAAUCAAAACAGAAGGAGAUACGAUCAAAUGUUCAAUAUGAAUAAUAAGUUUGGUCUGGUUUGCAGAUGAUGCGGCAACGCCUGUUGCGCUUGCUCAAAAGAUGGCGGUCACUCCGGCGGAAGAAAGAUAUGAGAUAUCCUGGUGCUGGACAAAUGCCUCAGGAUCAUGGAGACCAAGGCGAGGGAAUGUCCCCGGCUCGGCUCGGCUCAGCUUGAAGAAGAGAACAACUGUGCUGGUGCUGGGAUUUGGAAGAUGGCGCUCUAGCUAUCGAUGUGAUCAGGAGUAUGGUCCUGAUAGCUAAAAAUCAGUAGUGGAGAUUGGCGCAGGGUACAAAGCUGUACUCCCUCUGAUCCAUAUUACCUGUCACUCAAACGGAUGUUUACACGCGUACAAAGUUGUAAUGAUUAUUAAUAUGUACUGAAUAAAUAAGUGGCCAAUGUGAAAUAUUUUAUCCUUUA